CUCUGCGCAUGCAGUCUGUCACCAGGAGCGUCUGCGCUAAGGAGUGGGCUGUUUGCAGAAUUUUCAGUAGAGCUUGCACGUGGAUGUUCUUUCACUGAUUUUCUCCUUGGAUGUGUUUGUGAACCACCUACACAUAGUGCCGGGUGCUUCUGUUUCCUCUUGGGAAGGAAGAAAAAAUUUCCUGGGGAAGAAUUAGACACAUCUAAUGUCCAGCAUAUUUGUACGGUUUCCAGCUCAGCUGUUAGCAUUCUGCAGUUUAUUUACAUACCCGUCUCCUCUUACCUUGAACCCUCAGACAAGGGGACUUCUGGGUAAGGGACCUCUGCUGGGUCUCAUGGAGAAAGAAGGCAAAGGCGACAAGGUGGAUCCUCAUGUUCUGAAGUUCGACUUUGGCAGAGACUGCUUGGGAGUAAAGAGGAGCUCGUGGCAGGUGGGACUUCGGGCCUCCAGUGCAGGGCACCCGUGUGGGACGCAGCUGAUGGAAGGGAGAAGAGACAGUUUUCAGGGCCGGAAGGCGGUCCUCAGUCUCGCCACUUACGCUGUCUCUGCUCUUCACGACGUUUUGUUUUCCUCUCUUCCGUGGCCCAGAGAUAACAUUACCAGCAGGGCAUUAUUCCUAAACACUCCUUUCCCGUGCUUCCCACCCUGUAUCAGCUGCCUCCAUUUCCAGCCAAAAUUCACUGAUUGACAAGGGACCCGGACUUCUCACAAAUGGCUAUUGCCUGAGCAGAAAGGAAGAGCUUUCUGGGGAGACUCAGGGGACUAGAAACGGAGGUGUAGGAUUUCAGGAUUGGGGGACUGCAGUCCAGGC
rnacentral:lncRNA from 1 species